rnacentral:rRNA from 1 species
CCUACGGGAGGCAGCAGUAAGGAAUAUUGGUCAAUGGAGGCAACUCUGAACCAGCCAUGCCGCGUGCAGGAUGACGGCCCUAUGGGUUGUAAACUGCUUUUGUACCAGAGAAAACCUACUCACGUGUGAGUAGCUGAUAGUAUGGUAAGAAUAAGCAUCGGCUAACUUCGUGCCAGCAGCCGCGGUAAGACGAAGGAUGCAAGCGUUAUCCGGAUUCAUUGGGUUUAAAGGGUGCGUAGGCGGACUUGUAAGUCAGUGGUGAAAUCUCUUCGCUUAACGAAGAAACUGCCAUUGAUACUGCAGGUCUAGAGUAUAGAUGACGUUGGCGGAAUAUGACAUGUAGUGGUGAAAUACUUAGAUAUGUCAUAGAACACCGAUUGCGAAGGCAGCUAACGAAACUAUAACUGACGCUGAGGCACGAAAGUGCGGGGAUCAAACAGGAUUAGAUACCCUGGUAGUCCGCACCGUAAACGAUGAUUACUCGUUGUUGGCGAUAUGACAGUCAGCGACCAAGCGAAAAGCGAUAAGAAUCCACCUGGGGAGUACGCCGGCAACGGUGAAACUCAAAUGAAAUUGACGG